rnacentral:rRNA from 1 species
UCUCGGCAACGGAUAUCUCGGCUCUCGCAUCGAUGAAGAACGUAGCAAAAUGCGAUACCUGGUGUGAAUUGCAGAAUCCCGCGAACCAUCGAGUUUUUGAACGCAAGUUGCGCCCGAGGCCUUCUGGCUGAGGGCACGCCUGCCUGGGCGUCACGC